UGCAGUCGAGGGCUAACGAUGGCUUCGGCCAGGCGACGACCGGCGCACGGGUGAGUAACGCGUUUGUAACCUACCUCUGACUGGAAGAUAGCCCGAAGAAAUUCGGAUUAAUAUUCCAUAAAACUAUGAGACGGCAUCUUUUUAUAGUUAAAGCUCCGGCGGUCAGAGAUGGGCAUGCGUGACAUUAGCUUGUUGGUGAGGUAACGGCUCACCAAGGCAACGAUGUCUAGGGGGUCUGAGAGGAUGGUCCCCCACACUGGUACUGAGACACGGACCAGACUCCUACGGGAGGCAGCAGUGAGGAAUAUUGGUCAAUGGGCGAAAGCCUGAACCAGCCAUGCCGCGUGAAGGAUGACGGCCCUAUGGGUUGUAAACUUCUUUUGUACGGGAAGAAACACUCCGACGUGUCGGAGCUUGACGGUACCGUACGAAUAAGCAUCGGCUAACUCCGUGCCAGCAGCCGCGGUAAUACGGAGGAUGCAAGCGUUAUCCGGAUUUAUUGGGUUUAAAGGGUACGUAGGCGGAAAAUUAAGUCAGUGGUGAAAUCCUGCAGCUUAACUGUAGAACUGUCAUUGAUACUGGUUUUCUUGAAUACAGUUGAGGUAGGCGGAAUAUGUAAUGUAGCGGUGAAAUGCUUAGAUAUUACAUAGAACACCGAUUGCGAAGGCAGCUUACUAAACUGUGAUUGACGCUGAGGUACGAAAGCGUGGGGAGCGAACAGGAUUAGAUACCCUGGUAGUCCACGCUGUAAACGAUGAUCACUCGUUGUUGGCGAUACACAGUCAGCGACUGAGCGAAAGCAUUAAGUGAUCCACCUGGGGAGUACGACCGCAAGGUUGAAACUCAAAGGAAUUGACGGGGGCCCGCACAAACGGAGGAACAUGUGGUUUAAUUCGAUGAUACGCGAGGAACCUUACCUGGGCUUAAUGUAGAACGCCGGAUCGGGAAACUGAUCUUUCUUCGGACGGUCUGCAGUGCUGCAUGGCUGUCGUCAGCUCGUGCCGUGAGGUGUCGGGUUAAGUCCCAUAACGAGCGCACCCUCAUCAUUAGUUGCCAGCGGGUAAUGCCGGGGACUCUAUGAACUGCCGUGUAAACCGAGAGGAAGGCGGGAUGACGUCAGUCAUCAUGCCCUUAUUGGGCAGGCUACACGCGGUGCUCACAAUGGGCCGCGGUCCGACG
rnacentral:rRNA from 1 species